UCCCGUGUGGCUCAGUUGGUAGAGCAUGGUGUUUGCAAUGCCAGGGUUGUGGGUUCGAUUCCCACGGGGGGAC
rnacentral:tRNA from 1 species